rnacentral:rRNA from 1 species
CCUACGGGAGACUGCAGUGAGGAAUAUUGGUCAAUGGGCGCGCGCCUGAACCAGCCAAGUCGCGUGAAGGAUGACUGCCCUAUGGGUUGUAAACUUCUUUUAUCAAGGAAUAAAGUGAGCCACGUGUGCCUUUUUGUAUGUACUUUAUGAAUAAGGAUCGGCUAACUCCGUGCCAGCAGCCGCGGGAAUACGGAGGAUUCGAGCGUUAUCCGGAUUUAUUGGGUUUAAAGGGAGCGUAGAUGGGUUGUUAAGUCAGUUGUGAAAGUUUGCGGCUCAACCGUAAAAUUGCAAUUGAUACUGGCAGCCUUGAGUACAGUUGAGGUAGGCGGAAUGCGUGGUGUAGCGGUGAAAUGCUUAGAUAUCACGAAGAACUCCGAUUGCGAAGGCAGCAUACUAAACUGCAACUGACAUUGAUGCUCGAAAGUGUGGGUAUCAAACAGGAUUAGAUACCCGUGUAGUC